rnacentral:rRNA from 1 species
AUGAUGCCCAGCUUGCUGGGUGGAUUAGUGGCGAACGGGUGAGUAAUACGUGAGUAACCUGCCCUUGACUCUGGGAUAAGCCUGGGAAACUGGGUCUAAUACUGGAUACUACCUUUCAUCGCAUGGUGGGGGGUGGAAAGGGUUUUACUGGUUUUGGAUGGGCUCACGGCCUAUCAGCUUGUUGGUGGGGUAAUGGCUCACCAAGGCGACGACGGGUAGCCGGCCUGAGAGGGUGACCGGCCACACUGGGACUGAGACACGGCCCAGACUCCUACGGGAGGCAGCAGUGGGGAAUAUUGCACAAUGGGCGAAAGCCUGAUGCAGCGACGCCGCGUGAGGGAUGACGGCCUUCGGGUUGUAAACCUCUUUCAGUAGGGAAGAAGCGAAAGUGACGGUACCUGCAGAAGAAGCGCCGGCUAACUACGUGCCAGCAGCCGCGGUAAUACGUAGGGCGCAAGCGUUGUCCGGAAUUAUUGGGCGUAAAGAGCUCGUAGGCGGUUUGUCGCGUCUGCUGUGAAAGCCCGGGGCUCAACCCCGGGUCUGCAGUGGGUACGGGCAGACUAGAGUGCAGUAGGGGAGACUGGAAUUCCUGGUGUAGCGGUGAAAUGCGCAGAUAUCAGGAGGAACACCGAUGGCGAAGGCAGGUCUCUGGGCUGUUACUGACGCUGAGGAGCGAAAGCAUGGGGAGCGAACAGGAUUAGAUACCCUGGUAGUCCAUGCCGUAA